CAGCAGCCGCGGGAAUACGUAGGGUGCGAGCGUUAAUCGGAAUUACUGGGCGUAAAGCGUGCGCAGGCGGUUGUGUAAGACAGGUGUGAAAUCCCCGGGCUUAACCUGGGAACUGCGCUUGUGACUGCACAGCUAGAGUAUGGCAGAGGGGGGUGGAAUUCCACGUGUAGCAGUGAAAUGCGUAGAGAUGUGGAGGAACACCGAUGGCGAAGGCAGCCCCCUGGGCCAAUACUGACGCUCAUGCACGAAAGCGUGAGGAGCAAACAGGAUUAGAUACCCCCGUAGUCCCUGUCUCUUAUAC
rnacentral:rRNA from 1 species